rnacentral:rRNA from 1 species
UACGGAGGGUGCGAGCGUUGUCCGGAAUCAUUGGGCGUAAAGGGCGCGUAGGUGGCCCGGUCAGUCCGUGGUGAAAGCGCGGGGCUCAACCCCGCGUCGGCCAUGGAUACUGCUGGGCUGGAGCACUGUAGAGGCAGGCGGAAUUCCGGGUGUAGCGGUGGAAUGCGUAGAGAUCCGGAAGAACACCGGUGGCGAAGGCGAGUCCCUGGACAACUCCUGACACUGAGGCACGAAAGCUAGGGGAGCAAACAGG